rnacentral:tRNA from 2 species
GCCCCUGUAGCUCAGCAGGAUAGAGCAACGCUUUCCUAAAGCGUAGGUCAGGUGUUCGAAUCACCUCAGGGGUA